rnacentral:rRNA from 1 species
AGGAACAACGCUGGCGGCGUGCCUAAUGCAUGCAAGUCGAACGGGAGCCCCUUCGGGGGUCGACCGUGGCGGACGGGUGAGGAACACGUGGGUAACCCAUCCAAGCGCGGGGGAUAACGGCGGGAAACCGUUGGUAAUACCCCAUGAGCUUGGUUCCCGGUGCGGGGAUCAAGCAAAGGUUGAGAGACCGUGCUUGGCGGGGCCUGCGGCCUAUCAGCUAGUUGGGGGGGUAUGGCCCACCAAGGCGAUGACGGGUAGCUGGUCUGAGAGGACGAUCAGCCACACGGGGACUGAGACACGGCCCCGACUCCUACGGGAGGCAGCAGCAAGGAUUUCGCAAUGGGCGCAAGCCUGACGGAGCGACGCCGCGUGGAGGAAGACACUUUUCGGAGCGUAAACUCCUUUUCUGGGGGAUGAAGAUAGUGACAGUACCCCGGGAAGAAGGACCGGCUAACUACGUGCCAGCAGCCGC